rnacentral:lncRNA from 1 species
GUAAUUCUAUAAAGAAUUUCUAAAGUCUCCCUUUUGAUAAUGGGAUCAGGAUGGUCCAGACAUUCAAUUAUUGUCAUCUGGUGCUCAAGUGCCAGAUUAGGAUCCUGCUGAAUAACACAGGUCAGAGCCUUUAAACCUAAGUAUUUCAAAUUAAUUUGGGGUGACAAAACAAAUUUUCCAAUGCACUUGGCAGCCUUUUCAAGUAAUUCAGAUUUGGGGUAAAUUGUAUAAAUUGUUUGGACACAUUCAAACAAGAUGGCAUAGGUAAUAUUAUGAUUUAUCUCUGCUCUUCUUAAAGAUUCCUCCAGAACAUCAUACAUCAGCUCACUGGUCCUUGGAUCAUCUUUUCCUAACAGCCCCAGUAUUCUUAAAAGCUGAAUUUGUAACCAUGGUGCUGGCACGCUGUGAUAAUUGAAGUCAAUAGGGAGCUUCCCUCCCACUACCUGCUUUAGGAUGAUUACAAAACUCUCCGUCAAGUCUUUAUACCCAGACGAGUUUUCCUUAAUCAUUUCAAGAUAAAUAUGCAAAGAAGCAGCCAUGACUCCAAC